AUUUGAGGGCUCUCAACAAUCAACAGAAGUGAAGUGUCCUGGGAGCAUUCCCUGCUGAACAGAUUUCUGGGGUGUUACUGGUGUCCUCCACAGAGCCAUGCAGAGGACCUGGGUGCAUCAUGACUGUGGGUCUCAUACUUCAUUCUCAACUUAUCCACCUGGUCCCAGGCUCACCUGCUAGGAGCAGAUGGAAUUCUUUCCAUCAUUCAGAUUUCAGGUCAGUUUUCAUUCCUAGAACAAUUUUAUAUUCUCUCUGUCUUUCUCCAUCUCUGUCUGUCUCCCUCUGUCUCUGUCUGUCUCUGUCUCUGCCUCUCCCCCUCUCUCUGUUUCCAUGACAUUUUAUUCUCCUCCACCAUCAUGUGAGUCCAAAAUCUCUGCAGAUCUCAUCCAUCUUAUUAGCUCCUGUGUCUCCACCUUCCAGAGGAGUACCCACUAAACUGAACACUCUCCCACAUCGUUGGCAAAAAACGUACCGAAUCCACGAUGCACCCUUUCCCUUGAGGUGGGUCUCUCCUGCUCCUCAUUGCACUACCGUACAAUGUACAGAUAUACAGAUACAAUAUACAGGUGGAGACAUUUUCAGCAAUGCAGUUCUUUGUAAGGGUCAUCAAGAGGCACUAUCUUCCUAAAGCAAAUCACAAAAUGGUUCCCCUUUCUUGUACCUUGGCAGGCACACAUGGGCUCACUCUUUCACAGCACAAUGCUUCCCUAAUUCUGUGAGGCAGACCUAGAGGUAAACAAACAUCUGUGGGUUGAAUCAGUUCUUUCUUUGGUAUUUAAAACAUAGUUUUGCUCCUGUUUUGAAGAUAUGCUCCUUAUGGUAAAAACUGAAUCUAAAAAAAAUUUGAACUUAGUUUUUUAUUGACCAGUUCUUAAAGAAAUUGAUAGCCAUAGACUUUCUUGCACUCUGUGAUGCAGCAUAAAUAGUUUGAUAAAACAAUAAUGUAAAUGCUAAAUUAUAAAGCAAAAUUUCAUUCUAUUCCUGUGGGUACUUGUUCUGAAGCGUGAUUCUGUUAAUUUAUUUGACUGCAAGCUAUGAAUUUCCUUCUAAUCCACAAAGAAAAAGAAAUAUGUUCCCCUUUUUUCACUUAAUAAAUUUAAAGGUGUAUACAAUUUUACGUGUGAAGCUUGUGUUCUAUUUCUCUCAUGUUGAUCAUGGUACAGACAUUUGAGAAAAAGCCCCCAGAUCUUGAUUUUCCUGGAGAAAAACCAGCUUCUGCUCUUUUUCAAAAUUCAAUGACUUGCUCAAAUGUUUUAAGAGGGAAUGUGCUGUUCUGUUAAUGGGAUCUGUACGAGGAGAUGUUGCUAAUGGUAAGAACAUCCAGUGUUGAGUGUGUGGUGCCUUUUCCCACAUUGACACAUUCACCCAGUGCCUGAAUGUGUUAUCAGGUCUCCAGGCCUCGCUUCCUCUGUAUGUCUUAUGGGAAAUAUCAUCCUGUUCUGAAGCAAUAUUUUUGAAUCUCUGAAGGAUAGAAUUUAUAAAGCAGUAUUAGAGAGCAUUUUUAGCCCGGAGUUUGAAAAUGGGAGUAUGCAGAUGCCUUUCUUAUGCACAAAAGUAAGCUAUUUAUAUUGAAGCUAACUUUUUCUGACAUAUAAACAUCACUUUAGUUCAGGACAAUAGCUAUACGAGCACCAGAAGAGUGCAAAAUAAAUAGCAAAUAAUGGUUACUAGUAAAUUAAAGUAUACUUAUGCUCUGGAAGAAAGCACAUACAUCUUAUUGGAACAUUGUUUCAGAACUUACAGUCUUCAGAAACACAAUAACAUUAGCAAAAAUGAAAAGAAGGAAUUGCAAUAAAAGGAGCUUGAGGUAGACUAAAUAAUAACUGUUCUUUAAAAACGUCUUACUCUUCAGAACCUGUGCAUAUGGUAUCUCACAUGGUAUAUUAGUCAAGAUUCUUCUGAGACACAUAACCAAUAAGCUACGGAUAGAUAGAUAGAUAGAUAGAUAGAUAGAUAUAGAUAGAUAUAGAUAGAUAGAUAGACAGAUAGAUAGAUAUGAAAGAUAGAUAUAGAGUUUAUAAAUGGUUACAUGCUACAUAUGAUAGAUAUAAUUGUUUGAUAUAGAGAGAUAAUAAGUAGAUGAUAGAUAAAUGGACACGAUGAUGAUGAUAGAUAGAUGGAUAGGUAGAUAUUAGGUAGACUUCCCCUAUUAAAAUGUCCUCUUGAAUUUCUUCUCUAGCUCAUAUUCUCCACUUCUUCCCUUGUUCAUCCUAGAAACCGCUCUUAAAUAAGUUCCAAACCCAACAAUGGAUUAAGGUGUUCUCCAUAAUAGGAACAAGAUUGUAAGUCUGAUGUUGGCAUAAUUUCAAAACGGCCAUAUUUUCUGAAAUUGUGAUAUGUGUACGCUUCAAGGACCUAUCGCAAUUUGAUUUUUAAUAGUAUCUAACAUUAAAUUCCUGUAGAAUUGCACCAUGGUAAGUGAUGCUAUAUGGUGUCAUGGAAUUUUAGAAGGCACUGGUGAAAAAGCAGGAUCCUUGUACAUAGUUAAAAGUCACCAUCUUAACGUAGUAAUUAGAAAGCCCUUGCGUUCUUUCAACACUUCAUAUUGGGGGACAUGUCUUGCUCCACCUAACAUAAGAAUAUGACAGGGACUUCUACUCUUCAGAUCCCUGGGCAACCUUGGGGACUGCAGUCCCUGACUCUCAUGUGCACAGAUCAAAGACCCGGCUCUUCUACAGAGAUGUAAAUUCUGCAUGAGGCAACGCUGGAGAAGUGGAGGUUGUGACUCAAAGAAAUUCCAUCAGAUCUUCUUCCCCUGAAGUCAACAGCGAUGGGUUUCCCAAAGCUUUUAUCACACCGGGAAGUCUGCAUAUGCAAAUAAGGCUGCAAGGAUAAGAACAGCUCUAUUUCUCCCCCUAUGAAAUGUCAGGAAAAUUACUCAGAUUCACAGUGAUCCAGAUAUCCCUGCAGAUGUACCCAUUUCCUUUAUUAGAGUGUCACUGUGCAUUUGCUUACUUACCUUUCUCUCUCAAGGGUGGAACACUUAGGGACGAUAUAGUGCGCAUCAGUGAAAUCAUAAUAGCCUUCCCUCUGUUGGCAAGUGAAGCUAUGGCCCCACUGAUCUAUCUUCCUCAAUUUCAAAUAAAACAGAAGCAUUUCAUUAGGAGCAGAGGAGGACAGUCCUAACCAUGUCCUCCUGACACUGAAACACGCAGGUUUCAAUCCUGGCUCAAUUCUUUGUCCUGGAGCUAAUUAUUUACUCUGUGACUCAGUUUCUUCAUUCACUCAAUGGGAUUCCCGAUAGUACGUGCUUCCAAAGACAGUGGAAAUAUCCGUCCUGAGAAAUGUCAUUCUGUUACAACCGUGACUGUGUGUACUGCAGUCAAACUCUGGAUUGACCAACGGAGUGAAGCACAUAGUUCUUAAGAAGAUUGCCUGUCCAUCAGAAACCAGCUGAAAUCUGUAGGGGACCAGCCCAUUGACAGUUAGGACACACUGACCAUAAAUUCAAGGCUUCCCGUGAGUCCCACAGUUCUGUAAUUCAUGGGAACAACUCCCUGAACUCCCUAUAACCCAUACUUAAAAUGGUCUUGGGGCAGGGGAUUCAGACUUUCCAUGCCCUCUCUCCUUGGAAUCAGAUUCCAUCUCAUUCCUGGUACUUCAGAGUGUUCGCCAGCCCAGAAGUCCUACUGAAUGUCAAUGUGUAGCAUUCUUACUGGGGUUUACAUGUCAGGCACAACUCAUUGGAUCACAGGCCACGCGAUUGAGCUCAAUGUCAUCCCCUCCUCCUCCUUAGAGGUCCAAGAGUUGAAAAUCUCAAACCUCCAUCGGUUGGUUUCUCUCUGUGGUCACCAGCGUGGCUGACUGGAAGUGAUCCAGGCCCCAAUCCCACCCUGACCCACAACAUUAGCAAAACAAGGAUGCUCCUCCACGUAUUCAGGAAAUUCCAAGGGUUGUAGAUAUUGUGUGUUAGGAACCUGGGAUAAAGACAAACCAUGGACUGCCCCGUGUGUGUUAAGCAUCUGUAACAAAGGCUGGCACAGGAUGAGUGGUGGGUAUAUGGUAGGCAAAAUUAUAGGAGAAGAGAGAGUGGAUCAAGGAACAGAUUGGCAUCUCCUAUCAAAACCCUGGAAGUUGAGAUUAUGUGUCCAUAUUUCCCCUCUUCUCCGCCUCUCAGAAGAAAUUCAGAUAUCAAAAAUUUAUCAACACUUUCUGUGCUCCUGCAAAUACUUGCUGCUGUCUUUUCUCCUCAGUUUGCUCCAUUAUAUUUUCGUUAUUCUAUUUCCCACAUUCCUUUGGGGGAAUAUUUCUUACCCAUUCUGUUUGCUUAAAAAUACUUCCUGGGCUCCACAGCAAAUGCUCUCAGUGAUAUUUUUGUUGUUGUUGUUGUUGUUGUUGCAAUGAAUGAAUCCAGGCUUAUUGAAUGUCUUUAGAUUUUAACCUCUUGCUACUAUUCUAAUCAGUUCUGCAUAGAACAUGCACAUUCUUCUAUGUAGUAUGUCUUUCUAACAACAGCCAGACCUGAACCAUCUUGAUUUCCCAAUAACUGGUCAGGGAUCCCUUAAAACGGUUUAACACAAGGUACAAACACAUGGUAAUUUAACUUGAAUGAAUACAUGUAGGGACGCCAGAACAUCUGUCUUCUUAAUUGACUUAUUUAAGUCACAGUGGCAGACAGAAAAUCAGUGGGUGGCAUGAGGCCCACCUAUGUUGGGGAGGAAAAUCUGCUUAAUGUAGCUUACUGGUUGAAGUGUUAAUCUCAUCCUGAAACACAGACACACACACACACACAGGCACAAUACUGUUUUCAAAUAAGCAGCCACCCUGCAUUCCAGUCAAGUUGACACUUAAAGUUAGAUGGCGCAGGACGCAGUCUCCAGUUACCUGCGCCCUUUAUUCAAAUUUGUGAUUGCACCUCUCAAAUCCUGGCAGUUCCUGCAGAAUCUGCAGCCACCGAGGAGAAAAUGUGAUGCAACAUUAAAAAGUAGAUUGAACUUGUCUUCCGUUACCCCUGUUUCAAAACCACAGGUCUUCCAGAACACUUUGUUGAUGACUUUCAUGAUUACAUGUCUGUGCCUGAAGCCAGUUCUCCCUCAAACUGUUCCCCCUCAAGUUCUAGCCACUCUGAUUCUACAUUUGUUUUAAAUUCUAAGGUAUAAAAUAACCAGAAAAAAACUGGCCAAGAGCAACAUUUUUUCACCAUCUGUACUGAGACUAAACCAAACCAAGAAAUAGUUUAACGCCUCUCCCUAUCAUGGGUAUGAGCACACUGAAGAGAUGAAAAUCAGGGCAUCUUGGAGUAAUGAAAAUUAUGUAAUCUACUUUAAGUCAGAAAUUGUCAUACUGAUUGCAUCUCAUGGCUUUUCUUUCUUUUUCUUUUUUUGUUUUGUUUUGUUGUUUUCUUCUUCCCAGCAUUCCUUUAGUGUCUUUGGAACUAUUAUUCUCCUGGCCACAUAUUGGGAGAUGCUCCACAAAAGUGUCCUUUGGCCUAGAGUAGUAGCACACACCUGUAAUCCCAGCACUCUGGUAGGCUGAGGCAGGAGGAUCACAAGGUGAAUGAAGCCUAAAACUGGUUAAAAAGGGCCAGAGAUAUUGCUCAGCCUGAAAGGCUCUGAGUUCUUCCAGCAGUAUUGCAAACAAAAGCAAGAACUGUUGUUUGCAAUUAAUGUAGAAAAGGCUUUAAUUUGAAGAUUCAGUUGAUAAAUGGUGAGUUGGAUGGGGACUGUAGGACAUAGCAGUAAACACGUGGGAAAGGAGAGACAACCACUUCUCUGAGAGCUUUGGUGAACCUCAGUGAUUCUGGGCAUGGGAAGUAGAGGAGGAACUUUCAACAUGAGCCCGAGUUUCACACCAAGAUUCUGGAAAGACUGUCCUAUACGUGACAAAUUCAACAUACCAGUUGCUUUAUGAAAAAUAAACCAUCCCUUUUAUUUUUACUCUCUUAAAAGAGCUAUGGGAGCUUAGUGGAUGGUUUCUGCAAUUGUUGUUUUGACCCUGAGAUGGCAUGAAUUUAGCAGAGUUGACAAUCUCCAGCACUCUGCUAGCUACAAAUGGACCCUUAUGGAGGAAGCACCACAGUCAUUGAGCUGGAUGUUUCUGGUCCUUUCUCUUUUUUUUGGUGCGUUCUUCACUCAUGUGCUGUGGCUUGCGUACAGAGGAAACAACCCCUCUACCAGUCUGGAAAUCUCACCAGAAGCUCAGAGUGCAGUCUGGCAAAGAGAAAUCAAGUGCACACCAGCCACAGGCACUGUGCAAAUGCCCCCUCUUUAUCCAGACAGGGAUUCUGCUUUCUGCCUCCAGCCAGGACACUUCUGGAGAGCUGGCUACAGGGAUGGAGAUAAACUCUGUCUUGUCCUUGCUCUUUCUCCUGUAUCAGCGGAUAGAGUAGAACCUCUGGGAAUUGUUCAGGCAUGCUGGGCCCGUGAACUGUCACACCGACUGCAUUUCCUUUGGCUGGGUUUCCUCACCUGACACUAGCAACAGACCAGAAGUCUCCUUUGACAAAAUGGAGAUGCCAGUGGGCCUCUGACCAGGUGCCCGAACUCAUUCCCUCUGGCAGAGCAUCUCACAAACACCCCCGAAGCAAUCAGAAAGGGUUCAAAGGAGCCAGGAUUUUAGCAUCGUGAAAAGCAUCCCUGGGAUGCUGUGUUCUCUCGCCAGCCACCAUGUCUCAUGCGGGAAGGAGCUGGUGCCUUGGAGAAGGUGUGUUGCUGUUUAUAAGGCGAGAGGUGUGCUCUGCCUUCCUGCCUCCAGAUUUGUGCGUGAUGUCACUUGGGUUAAGAUGCAGCCCACCACAAGGGGACUGGCACGUAGUCUGGCAUUUUUGUGGCAGCUUUGUCUGUGGUCACAACAUAGAAGGUCUACUUCAUGGUGCUUAUCACUGUGUAUUAUGGAUUUAAAUUGGUGGAAUGCUCCAUAGCUAUAGCGAAGGAGAAAACAACACUUCCAAAUAAUUGACUAGUGAAUGAGAUUUAUUGUAUAUGGAUAGCAUUCUCCCCUACUUGUCUCUUUCUCCCGCCUCUCCAUCCUCCCUCAUGGAAAAUUACAGUAGGAUUCUGUCCCGCUCCACUUUAUUUGAACAAUGACAGAGUGCCACCUGCGAUACGUACCUCCCUACUACCGAUAUGCCGCCAUCUACAGUAAUGAGAUUCCUCUUCUGAACAGAAGAAAUGAAGGGCGACGUCUAGCUGCUUUCACUUCUCUAGAGAUCCUCAGACCAAUUUUAACAUCUGGCAUCGGAUCAUGGCUUGAAAAAUGAUUGGGUUUUCUGUGAGCAGCCUUCUCCUGAUUUUGCACAUUUCCCUACUCCUCAGAGACACUUCAGAAUUCAAGAAACGAAAUGAUGAUCUUUUCACGUCUUUGGGAUGCUGCGCCUGCUUGUUCACUUGUCAGGUCAACAGUGUGCUCCACAGUUUUUUUUGCAUAUUCCCCUGGGCAGAAACAUUUUGUUUUUCCUUUGCUGUAAAUGAUCUCUUAAGAGUUCCAUUCCCAAUCCUCUAAGAAGAUUUUGCACUUGUUAUUUUCUUUGUUAACUAUCAAAUGAUGUAUGCCACACACAUUUAGGAUCGAGUGAAACACAACCAUUGCCCAACACUUCGUGUUUUGAGUGACAUCAUAGUUGCUGUGUAACUCAUCCACAACAUCUAUUCCACCUUUGGUUUUGUUGUGGGAUGUUUCCAUCUCAGGCUUCUGUUUUGUCGAUGUUUUCCUAUCCAUAUUUCCAUCAUGGUGUAGUGUUGACAUCAGCAGUACCAGUUUGUUUUUCUUUGACAUACACGAGGCCGACGUUAUAUCUUUCUGAAAACCAAAGAUUGUACUAUACAAGUCCCCAUUUUGAAAUUGCAAUAUUUCACUUGGAGUUUCUGCUUUGUUGCUGUGUACAGUUUCUAUGCUGGUCAACUUGUGCUCUGUUAGCAAAUAUAACAUCAACUGGAAACUGGUAAACCAAUCGUCAGGUGUCAUGUUCCAAUUAGUUUGGGAGAUGGGAGCAACAAGUCUAUGCACAACAUCAUUUGGUUUAUUACUAUAUGAAUAAAGACCUGGUGGCUGAGUUCCAGGAUAAAUUUCUAAAUCGCAUCUACAAAGUCAUACAUUUUUAUGCCAUAUUUUGAAAUGCUUUUUUGGCAUAUACUGCCUGAAGCUACAGUGACCACUAAAUGCUGCAAGAUGUUCAAUAGUCACGUAUUCAGAUAGUGUGUAAAUUGUUUGGCAAUUACCCACAAACCUCUCAAACAAUGAACAGAUAGCAGCCAGAUUAUCAGUUCUUUUUCUUUUUUUGGCAAGUGGUUUUUUCAUCAAAUCUCAGACAGUUUUGAAGGAAACCAAAUCUCCUCAGUGUCACUGUUAUUCUACAAACCACAAGCCUAUACCCAUCACUUUUCCAUAAGUCUUUUACAUUCUUGCCAUUACAAUGAGGAAGCCCUGCAAAGUACAGCAGACCUAUGAAUGCUUUCAGUUCAGCUAGUGUAAUAAAUACAUUUUUGUUCACAAGCUCAAGGUCCUGAGUUUUGAUCCCUGGUACAAGAAAAACCAUUUUUGAGUAUGGCUACUGGUGCAGAGAAUGUUUUCCUUGUAUUUCAGAAUUUGUGUAUUUCACAACAUCUUCUAGCAUUUUGUCUGUUACAAUUUCCAACAUUAAAUGGCAGUGCUGGCAUUCUGUCCAGUAGCUUUCACCCCUGCCAAGGUCCUCACUAUAUUUUUGAAUCUAGUUCUAAUACUGGAGCAUUCCAUUUGGUUCUGUGACUAUUUUGUGCCAUUUUGACUAGUCAAAUAUGUACUCACAUUGCUGUUUUCUUCAUCAUCUGAAUCAUCUGAAUCUCCAUUAUCUGAAUGGUCUUCAUUCUCUUGUCUAUAUAGGUGGAUUCUUGCUCCAUUUUACUGUCACAGCAUCUUUGGCUUAGAUGGCCAAUGUCCAAGGCAUUAUCAUCUUCAUCAUCCUUGCAGGAGUAAUGUGAUGAUUCACUUUUGACCUCCACCCAAACUUGUGAAUCUGGUUUUUCAUGUGCCAUUGUACUGAAUUGGGCUACCUCUACCAGAGAAAUCAAAAGAAAACUUAAAAAAAAAAUCAUAAGUGCACAGAAAUUUAACAAUGAACAUUUUGUGGGUAAAAUUCACCUGUUGCUGCUUUGGAGCUCCUGUACACACUUUGGUGUCCAUCUGCUAAGUGUGUGAAUGCACAGAUGAGUUUCUGCUUUCCCCAGGUGCAGCUACUGGAGUCACACCCACAUUCCAUUAUAGUAAAGUACAUGUUUUCAUAACAGAAGAGUGGUGUGGGUAUUUUUCACCCCCUGUGAUGCUCAGGUAAGCAUAGGCAAAACCUAUUAGCUGAAGUAUUAGGUGAGUAAAAAUUCCAGUUUGACACCUUCAUACAUGCACACACCUUGCCGUUCAUCAUACCAAGUGGGCAAACACAAAGACUACUUCCUGUAUCCCCCAAGCAUAGCUACUGAGAUGCACAGCUGCCUACUAUUAUGCUAAAGCACAAACUCAGAGUAGAAAAGAAUGGGAUGGGUUGUUGUAACUCAAUGGUAUGCCCUAUUGUAUAUAUGGCAACCACAAAUGUAUAUUGGCAAUGCAUCUUCAGAGAAAUCCUAAAGAAGAUUUCUAUUUUUUCUCUCCUUCAGAUAUCAUGAACGAAUACAUUAUGAGACUACAAAGUAUGAGGGUGUAAAAUUUUGAAUAAUGUUGUUUGUCAGGAAAAAUUCUUAACACCACCAUUAUUCUUAUUGAUUUCCCUUUCCUUUGUGAACUUUCUGUUUGUAGGUGCUGUCUGCAAGGUUGAAAUCCAUAGGUAAUUUAUCAUUUAGAUUAAUUAAAAACUCCACUCCUGUGGAUUUCUUUAGGUUGUGUGAAAAAUGGAUGUUGGCCAAAAUUUCAACUUUUUGGUUUAAAGACAGUAAUUUUUCACCUUAGAACAUUGUCAGUAACAACCACCCCCAGCGUUUUCAGCCUUGCAUGUGAUCAAUCCUGCUUUUUAUAAUGAUUGCUGCUGUAACAGAAGUUAUUUGCCAAAUGGAUAUGAAGUUCUUGAACCAAGAUACACUUCCAUUUCCUGCCCAGAGUGUGAUGACCAGAGCGUGUAUUGAAAGUGUUUGCAGAAACAUGCGUAGUCUCGUGAAUUUAAAUUCACAUUGCUUGGUGACAUUGGGGGCGUCAACAGAUUUAUCCUUUCAGAACCCUAACCUUCAUUUGUUGUUUUUAACUUUUUUCAUACCUGCAGUACUUUUGCUCCAAAGCAGGAGCUCAGAGAAACUUAUGAAUGGUUGCACUGUUGGUGUCAGCUGGGGAUAGUUCUAAGUUUCCCCAGCACCCACACUUGCCAAAAUAACAAAAGGCAUAGACGUCAGACUUCUACAAACUGGCUUAGUAUUUUCACAUACCUUAUACAUAUCCUCCUGUAUGCUUUGAAUCUCCUGUAGAUUAUUUAUAACACUUCCUAACACAAUGUCAAUGCCAUGUCUAUUUGACUUGGGUGGCGGGUGUGUAUUACCUUACUGUGAAAUACUCUCCCAAAUGAUGGAAAGAUGUGACACAAUUCUAUCAGAAUUCCUUCUACCUUUUGUACAACAGUUGAUCGUGGCAAAUCCCAUGUGUUACAAUGUGGAUGAACCUCAAAAAUAUCAUGCUAAAUGAAAGAAACCAUACAUGAAAGACCCUAUAUUGUAUGAUCCUGUGUAUAUGAAAUAUCUAGAAAAAAAUUCAUAGCAAUAGAAAGUAAAAAGUUAAAGGGAUAGGGAAAUGACUGUUAGAGGGCAUGGAACUUCUUUUGAGGAAUGAUGAAAAUAUUACAUUUCAAUAAUUUGUUAUUUUUUAAAUAUACAAAAGAGGAGAAAGAAUAAGAAAGAACUGGUUAAAUUGAUAAGGAAUUACUUCCAGAAUAUACUUUUUGGUUAACAAUGUAAAGUGUGGUCAACUGGAAGCAAUCAGAAUGCCCAUAAUUGGUAGAGAUGAACGAGUCACCAUCUAGCCACUUAACAUGCAAAACAAAAUAGAAUAGGUUAUAUGUUUGGAAGGGAAAUGGCUCAGGAAUGUAGAGUACUCUAUGGGAAGAUACAAAUACAAGGCUAAUAAGCUGGGUUGGUUUUAUUCUUGUGCUAAAGACAAAAUCACCCAGCAUUUUACAAUCUUUUGUUUAUUCUAAGGACUCACAGGAAGGUCCUUCUUUGUAUUCACUAAUCAGCAUGUUAAGUUCUCCUUUCCUUCCCAGAAACCAUGGUAGCUUCAUGGAAGAUUUCCUCCUGGGUCACUUAAUACAUGUGAGUAUUCCUUGGGAAGCACUCAAAAGCUUAACAGCUAUACAGCAUUCCCCUUUAUUUGGAAGGAUACAUUCUAAGACUUUCAGUGGAUACCUGAAAACACAGCACCAAACUCAAUAGAUACUACAUUCCCCCUCUACAUACAUAUGAGUACAUGUAGUUAUGCUGUUGUAGCUGCCUCAAUGUCCUGAAUUAACUCCCAACAUUGACCACUUGCAGUCUGGGAUUUUUAAUCUAGUACUUUGAGAUCUUUAUUGAUUACAGGUCACUGAAACUGUGAAACCAAAAUGGAGGAUAAGAUUCAUGUGUUUGUAUGUGUAUGUGUGUGUGUGUGUGUGUGUGUGUGUGUGUGUGUGCACGCUGAGGGUGGGUAGGAGGAUGGACCACUGUAACUAGCUUUUAUGAGGCACAUGGUUGAAGAGAUGUCUAUCUAUCUAAAUUUACUUCUAUAACACUUUCCUCCUUUUAAAAUACCAACAUCCGUUACUUCAUUGAGGUUUCCAACAGCUUUGUGCACUUGGCCAGGUUAACCUGGUUGUGUAGGUUACAAAAGAGGAAAUGAACAGAUACAAUGAUUCUCCCAACAUCUCACAACCUGGGCAUGAAGAAACCAGUGAGUUCACAUACGUCUUCCUACUUUUCACCUAGUUCCAUCCACCCUGAGGCUCUCCUAAGAUGGACUAAGUUGGAGGGAAAAAAACCAACCUAUAGGAAGCUAUUAAUGAAACAAUACCCUUUCCUUGGAGGCCAUUGAAGCCUCAGUGUACAUGGUUGGCUGGUGAAUGAUGGAGAAUCCUGAGAAAUGUGUUCCCCUAACUUAGUCUUCUCAGGUGUGAGUCAGACACUUGUUCGGGGAACAAAAUCAUCCUCCCAGGGCCUCCUAGUGAAUCUCUCAUUCUCAAGACUGCUGGUUAGGUGUGCCACCUAUACCUUUCCCAGCUGAAGGGAAACAGGUAUCUCACUCUUUAGUUGUUCCCACAGGGGUGUCCUUUCAACAAUACGGCUCAUUUUUAUGCCCUUGAUCUGCAAGAGAGAUCUGUGAGUUGAAGAAUGCUUCCUGUCUAAAUUCUGCACUUCUGUUUCUCACUUCGCAUUGGUAUGCUCAUUAAAAAUUCCUUUCUUUCCACAUCCUUUCAAUGAUCUAUACAAAAAUUUUCAGCACCGGAGCGCAAUUUGUCCAUCAUAUGGAUACCAUAUAAAAAAGGAACAGUGAGUUUCUGAAAAUAUAAAAAGAAAAAUUUGCAGCCCCAUAUAUCUGUUUUCAUAUGAGUAAUUGCCUGACCCUAGACAACUUGUUGCAUUAUUUGAGGCUUGAUUGAGGAGAUCGAUUGCAUAAGUGGCUGUCUUGGGACUCAGAGCAGUAUUAUGAUAACAGGGUGUAAAAAAAGUGCUGGUGGAAGUAUGCACAGUCAUGUACAUUGAAAUUCACCUUGCAUGGUGACACUGGGGGGCUUUAACAUGUGUAUUCUUUGACUUCCUUCUCUCCAUCCCUUUUGCAAUUAGCUACUUACAAUUCAAAUCUUUGAAGUACUUUGUCAAAACUCUCUGCUUCUUACAAUGCAUUUUUAUCAGUGUGGUCAACAUGACUGCACAUGAGUUUUCUUAUGACCCUGAGAGAGUAGAGGAUUUGUUAUAAUUAUUUGCUGAAGUCGUGCAUGAUUCUUUGGUGCACAAUAAAUGUGGCGAGGUAGAAAUAACUUACUCUAAACACUUUGCAAUCCUCCCUGACUCUUGAGCCUGACCUGGUUUUGUGACGUGGAUGUGGACUUGGUUUUGCUGAUGCCAAUAGGACAUGAACAGGAUUAUGAAAAAGCACUUUUGAAUUCUGAUUCUUGUCUUGAAUCCCAAUGACUGCCUUGGGAAGUAGCCCAGGCUAGCUCAUGGGAAGAUGUCAGCAAAUAGCAUCCAAGAACAGCCAGCCCAGUAGCUAGCCUAUAGUUUGACCACAAAUAUAGGAGGCAGCUCAGUCGAGGUGAAGCAAGCUCAUUCUAGAUCAGCAAUGAGUCUGAUCAGAUUCACAAAUAUGUGAGCAAGAAUUAAUGGCUGUUAUUUUAAGCCACUAAAUGUCAGAGGUUUGGAGGUUUGUUACACAGCAGUAGCUAGCUGAUGCACUUAUUUUCCUCAUUUGUGAAAUGGGGGUUAUAAUAACCUCCAUUCAAGUAGUGACUGUGAAAAUAAGGAUGAUAGUACAAAACUUCUGGAAUCUUUUCAUGCCACUUGGAAGUACAAUUGUGCUUAAAACGAAAUGAGUUUUAAAGGACGACAAGAAUUUCUAUCUUCUCCUUGGCUAUACUAUAUCUAAAUUUUAGAUAGUAUGGCAAUUAUUCUAAAACCGUUUGAAUGUAGACAAAAUUGUUAUGAUAUUUCCCCCCACUUUUUUUCCCCUUGCAGUGGUGGAAGAGUACUGUCCUAAAAUCAUUUCUUUUUCAGAUCUUUUGACUAUAAUUUCUUUGUCUUAAAAAUAGACCCAGACCAUCAAAUAUCAAUUCCUGACAACUCACCUUCAAGAAAGGGAAGACAGAUAAGUGACACUGGCAUGAUUUCCGCUGCAGACAUGGAACUUUUAUAAAAAUGUAUAUCCUAUUUAAAUAAUGUCUUCAAAAUCACUAAUUUUACUGUUUAGUGAAGAACCUUUGCAAUUAGCUCCCUAAAAUUAAUGUCUUGAAAGCAUUUUUAUGAUAAAGUGGCCACUAAACUUCUUUUACAGCAAUUUUAAAAUAGGUUUAGGUCAGCAGGAUUGGACUUUAGAUUACUUAUGACCCCAAAUGAGUAAAAAAUUAAAUUAUAAUUAUUUGGUGAAACCAGACACGAUCCCUUGUUAUAAAUUCACCAUGGUAAAGUGGAGAGAGCGUGGGAAUAUCUUAAAGCAGAUUAGAAUGCCUGUCUCUUUGGAAUUCCAUUCCUUUAUAAAGUUACAUCCUUUGCUGAUGGUUAUUAUUAAGGUAAACAGUACUGUAUACAAAACACUCAAUAAUUCUUGAAACAUAGUAAACAUUCAAUAAGCAGAAAUUAUUUUAGUAAUGCAGGUUGCGAUUUUGAGGACAGUCUGUUUGGAGUCUGAAAGUUUAGGAGCAUGGUUUAAGGUAGCAAAGCUAAGUUCAAAGAGUUAAGACAAUAGCAAUGAAAGAUUAUGUGGCAUUUGGCAGAGGAUUUAGUGGAAAAGUGGAUGUGGCAGAAUUCAUAGGGAAGCCAAGUGAGAUUAGGUGUGUGUGGCAACAAUUGCAAUGCAUCUCACCUGAAUCUACUUGAGGCAAAGCACUGGAGACAAUGAAAGGGCCCUAGAAUGACAUUUCCUAAAAAAAUAUCCAAUGUCUUAUGCACCAACACUUGUGUAAAACAAAACAAGAAAUUAUGAGAAUAACAAAAAGACAUACAAUGCAAACUCAAGAUUUUAGUAUAUGAAAGAACAGCCAUGCAAGUACGUUACUGAAAUCCUAUACAAAUUUCAAAAUGCAUACUCCCAUUUCUAGACAAAUCCACUAUGGAAUGAUAAGAAUUGGAAAAGGCAGCAAUCCAAAAACUGCAUUAUAGGGAGCAUUAUACUGAAAGACACACACGAAAGGGUUCCACAUGAUGCAAACCUUCCUUGGACACUAUCUCUUGUAAGUCUCCAUUAUGAAUCAUUUGACUUUCUGAGGAAAGACCACUUGUUCUUUCAUAGGAUGGGUUUUGUAUUUUUACAAAGCUUUCAAGAUCUCCAAUGAAUAUAAAAGAAUGACAGGAAUCUAUAGCUGUGUUACAAGAACCCAAUGCUUUGUUUUGCUAUGCUCCAAAAAGGAACUUAGACAAAUCCAAAUACCAAUGGUUCUUGACCUAAAAUGCAGUUACAUCCCCAUGAACCCAUUUUAAGUUGAAAGUACAUCUGAUACACCUAAUGUACUAUUAUAGUUAGAUAUAAAAUAUUUCCCUAAAACCUCAUGUGUUCAGAACUUGGGCUUUUGCGAUGUGGUUGCAUCAUGAAGGCACUGUACUUAUCAGUUCAUGACUUCAUUGAUGAUAUCAUAACUGGCUGCCAUGAACUGAGCAGUUUUCUUCCCUAUGCCUAUCCACCAUGAUGUUUCUGCCUUGAGCCAGCUGACAUGGAAUGAAACCUUUGAAAUCAUGAACCAAAAUAAAUCUCUUCUUAGGAAUAUCGAUUCAAGUUUUCCAUGUAUUUUCCUGACCUGAUAGCUUAUUUGUUUUUGAUGCUGAGUCACAUUCCAUUGUCUGGAUGUGCUGUAGUUUAUUAUCCAUUCACCUCCUUAAACACAUCUUGGUUUCAAGAGCUGGGAGUUAUGAAUUGAAUACUGUAAUCCUUCCUGGGCAGGCGUUUGUGUGGACAGACAUACAUUUUUAACUCUCGUGGUUAAAUAUCAAGAAGCAUGAUUGUGGGAUUAUAUAUAUGGUUAUUCUUGUCAAAAAUUUAUCAAGUGUAUCCCAAAGUGGCCAAAUCAUUUUGGAUUCUCACCAUUGAUAAAUAAGAAUUCCUUUUCCUCUACAUCCUUCUCUAGCACUUGAUUUUGUCUGUGUUCUGGAUGGUUGUAUCUCAUUAUUGUUUUAGUUUUCAUUUUCCUGAUGCCACAUAGAAUUUCAUUUGGAUGAUAGAUGAUGUUAGCCUUAAGACAUUAAAAAACUAUUGGUUUAAGGUAUGUGAGUAAAGCCGGGGAUUUAGCUCAGUGGUUCUGCCACCUGCCUCAUAAGCGCAAGGACCUGAGUUCAAUCCCCGGUACCAGAAAAAAAAAAAAAAAAGGUAUGUGAGUAAAAUAGGUUUCACUGAUUCAUGAAUAUUCUUUAGAUUUGUGCAUUUUGUAGUAUAUGAAUUUUACAUCCAAAGAGGGUAAAAGCUAUAAACAAAUAUUGGUCUCCAGUUAAUCAUGCACAUACAGUGUGAUGUAUCUAGGUAGCAGUGUAACGCUGUCUGCAAUGUAGCUCAAAGUAUAUCAACUAUUGAAAGGGAUAAAUGCACAUAAAGAUGGGCAGACAAUGGACAUGAAAUUAAUGAAGUUAAAUUUUCUUUCUUUUUUGGAGGGAGAAGGAGAUAGGAGAUAGAGCCCAGGGUACUCUGCCACUGAGCUACAUUCUUGCUCCUUUUUACAUUUUACCAUGAAACAGGAUCUCACUAGGUUGCGUAGACUGGUCUCGAACUUGUGAUCCUCCUGCCUCCGCCUCCUGAGUAGAUGGGAUUACAACCAUUUGCUACCACACUGACUGAGAAUUAAAUGUUCUUUGCAGAAUGCAGAUAGUAGGUGUACAAAUAUACACAGCAAAAUUCCUUCAACUCGGCUGAAUGUCUGAAAAUUUUCACAAGAAAUUGCUUUGAGAGGUAAGGGGAGAAUGAACUGCCAUAUUAUUUUGGCUGAUUAUUUUAAGCAAGGUGUAGGUCUUCUGGUUGGCCAUACUCCCUCUCCUGUUUACUGCUUUAAACAGAGGCAAUGAGAAAAUGUAAUGCAUCUGUGAUGUGGGUUUGUGUAUGGUUGAGUUUGUUCUCCAUAUAAAUCUGUAUCUCAGGAAGACUUGACAUAGACUGUAUAAACAUGUGGGAAAAACAGGGAACCAGUGUUGUUGUAAAGACAGAGUGGAAAUUUCUUUUGUGACCGUUAAGAGCCUGGUGAAGCCCUUCAUAUCCACACAACUUGGUGCAACAUGGUUCCCUUGAAAUUUAAAGUCUUUAUUCCACUAGAGAAGAAACAAAAAGGCAGAAGUUCUAGUAAAAAAAAAAAAUUUGCUCAAUCUUAGAAGUGGUGUCUACGUCCAUCAAUAGAUGUUUGGAUGAAGAAAUAUAGUGUUUAUACCCAAUAGAGUACUACUCUGCCAGAAAGAAAGAUAAAUUUGCAUCAUUUGUAGGAAAUGCAUUUGUUGGGUGCACCUUGAGACCAUAAUGUUAAAUGAAAUAAAUCAGACACAGAAAGUUAAAUAUCACAUGGUUUCUCUUAUAUGAGAAAAUAUAAAUAAUAUAUUAAAGACCAGAAUAAAUGACACCUAAUAGGAAACAGGGAGGUAGAUCUUUUGCAAAAGUGAAGGGGAUCAAGAGAUGGAAAGAGGAGAGGAGAGGAGAAAAGGAGGAAAAUAAGAAUUAGGAUUUGUCAUGUAUUUGUACCAACUCCCUCAAUGAAUGCAAUAUUUAAGUACUGGGAACAUGCACUAACAAAAAAAAUUUUUAAAGUAAUAAUAAACAACCACAAUCACUCCCAAAUAGUUAAAUUUACAUUUUAAUGCUUUAUCUGGUUCAAAAUUCUCAUAUUUCUCCAGCCAGCUCAUACGAUUUAUCUGCUUCAAUUUUGUGAUUAAUCUGAGUUAAUUACCAAUGAGCUACAAUGAUGUAUGGAAUAUUUUGGAAGUUGUGGUUCUGCCAUUAAACCAAAGAAGUUUGGACGGAUAAGUUCAAGUUUCCAAAAAAACUUGGAAGAAACUAUUUAGAAACACGUAUUAUACCCACACUCACCUACCAUGCUGUCAGUCCUCAAUGUCAUUGUAAGGUUUAGCUUUCCACUUCUCUGACAAAAUACUUGAAAAAAAAACUUAGAAGAGGAAAUAUUCAUUUGGCUCACAGUUUCAGAGGUUUCAGUUCAUGGUCAGAUGGUUCCAAGUCAGGAAUAUCACGGCAGAAGAGAGCUGUUCAACUCCUAGUAUCUAGGAAGCAGAGAACCAAGGAAGAGAGAGAAAGAAAGGGACCCGUCUCCAAGAUGUAAACCCCAAGAUUAUAUCCUAGAUGACCCACCCAGACACAUCCAGAAGUGCACUUUUCUGAUCUCCUAGACAUACCUUAAGCCAAUCAAAUAGACAACCAAGAUCAAUCAUCAGUCUUGAAAGGAAAGUCCUUAGAAGCUCAUUGCAGCCCAAGUGUUUCAGAAAAUUUUGGUCUAAGCUGUCUUGACUAUAUCCCAUUUUAUUUUCUUUCAAAAUAAUUAAAAUGCUCUCAAAAGAAAAUUGUAGCUAGCAAUUCCUCCCUGUCAAGGGGAAUAAGAGGGUUGGUACAGUAAGUCUUUCCUGUCCAAACCACCUCUGAGUCAUGUGUUUUUCUGGCAAUGGUAUGGUUGGAUACAAGUGGCUUUGUCUUUACUUUUGUAGAAAAGGCAUGACUGCAUGAGAAUCCGACCAUGUUAUAUAAAUUCUGGUUAUAUGCUAAUGUUUUCAUUGUGAUAAUUAUUAGCUAUUGCACUUCUUUAGCUAUUUGUUUUCUCAUUGCAGAAAGAGAUAUUGUAUCUUUUUUGUUGUUUUGUGAAGCAGAAUUAGUCUCCUGGGAUGGUUGGACCCCUCAGUGGGAGUUCACCCAGGCAACCCCACCCGUAAAAAUUGCACUAGGUUGUGAAGAUCAGUUUCUUGCUACAAAUAUGGCUGGGGUAUAUUUUAAUAAGAACUCCAGGUGGGUUAAGCAUGGACGUAUGUAUUACUAUUUCCUGUUGUCAGGACAAACUACCCAACAAAGAUAGCUUAGCAGAGAAGAGGUUCAUGUUGGCUCAUGGUUUGAGAGGUUGAAGUACAUGGUUGGUUGCAUCCAAGGCAGAAAUAGCAACGUAGUAGAAGUGCAUGGAGGAGGAAAGGUAUUUAACUCAUGGUAUUCAGGAAGCAGGAAGCAGGACAAGAACCUCAAAGUGUGGAAGGGGUUGGGAACCAGAUACAGUCCCCAAAGCCAUGCCUUCAUGUCCCGCCUGGACACAACCAGAAGUGUGCUUUAAUGAUCUUCCAGGAGUCUCUCAAGCCAGUCAAUUUGACAAUCAGUAUUAUCCGUUGCAAUGUCCAUAUUUGCUCACCUUGUACAUGCUUACAGAAUUUCAAAUUUCAAGGCUCAAAGUCAAAAGGAUCUUUAAGGACCUCUGCUUUCAUUAUCUGGCAUGUGAGAUCAGAAGGUCAGGUAAGUCAUGAAAGACAUCCAGAAGGUAGACCAUAAAGCCAGGGUUAAAAUUCUAAAUCCUUCUCUGUGUAUGUGUUCCCCUCACAUGCCUAGGGAAACAAUUUGUUGAAAGUUGGCUGUUCUCUUGAGUUUUCUUGAAUGUGGAAAAGAAAUCUAGCUUCACAUGAUGUCAGGUCCUUGUAAGGUACCGAGGAAUGACUUAUUUCCAACCCCUGGAUUCACAGGGUAUAUUAUUUGUUUUUUCCUGGUGAUGAAAGACAAAUCUAAAGAUAAGGAAGAUCUCCAUGCUGAUAACACAGAUUCUUGGAAUAUUUUAAAUUGCUAAAAAUACUUUUUAUAUAUCAGAGAUGAUUUACUCAACCCCAUCUCGCAUCUUCCCUGUUCAAGUACCACUCAAACCGUCAAGAAGACAUUGAUAACACUGGCGGGGCAAACUAAAUAUCUUAGUGCUGCCAGGAUCCACACGUGACAGAAGUGUGUGACAUGGCAUUGGCCAAUGAGUAGUUUCUUCUCCUCUCUCCUUCUCCUUUCUUCACUCUUCCUCAGUCGACACACAGGUGACACACACAAAAAUAUGGAAGUUGACACACUGUCUUCCAUGAGUCUCUGACAGGGAACAAUCCUGGG
rnacentral:lncRNA from 1 species